UACGAAGGGGGCUAGCGUUGUUCGGAAUUACUGGGCGUAAAGCGUGCGCAGGCGGUUGUGCAAGACAGAUGUGAAAUCCCCGGGCUCAACCUGGGAACUGCAUUUGUGACUGCAUCGCUGGAGUGCGGCAGAGGGGGAUGGAAUUCCGCGUGUAGCAGUGAAAUGCGUAGAUAUGCGGAGGAACACCGAUGGCGAAGGCAAUCCCCUGGGCCUGCACUGACGCUCAUGCACGAAAGCGUGGGGAGCAAACAGG
rnacentral:rRNA from 1 species